rnacentral:rRNA from 1 species
CAGAGGUCCCAAGCGUUGUUCGGAUUUACUGGGCGUAAAGGGAGCGUAGGUGGCGGGCUAAGUCUAAUGUGAAAGCUCUGAGCUUAACUCAGAAAUGACAUUGGAUACCUGUUCGCUUGAGGAUUGGAGGGGAGACUGGAAUGCUCGGUGUAGCAGUGAAAUGCGUAGAUAUCGAGCGGAACACCAGUGGCGAAGGCGAGUCUCUGGACAAUUCCUGACACUGAUGCUCGAAAGCUAGGGGAGCAAACGGGAUUAGAUACCACGGUAGUCCUAGCUGUAAACGGUGCGCGCUUGCUGUAGGUGGAUUCGACCCCGCCUGUAGCGAAGCUAACGCGUUAAGCGCGCCGCCUGGGAAGUACGGUCGCAAGAUUA